rnacentral:rRNA from 1 species
GACGAACGCUGGCGGCGUGCCUAAUACAUGCAAGUAGAACGCACAGUUUAUACCGUAGCUUGCUACACCAUAGACUGUGAGUUGCGAACGGGUGAGUAACGCGUAGGUAACCUGCCUGGUAGCGGGGGAUAACUAUUGGAAACGAUAGCUAAUACCGCAUAAUAUUAAUUAUUGCAUGAUAAUUAAUUGAAAGGUGCAAUUGCACCACUACCAGAUGGACCUGCGUUGUAUUAGCUAGUAGGUGAGGUAACGGCUCACCUAGGCGACGAUACAUAGCCGACCUGAGAGGGUGAUCGGCCACACUGGGACUGAGACACGGCCCAGACUCCUACGGGAGGCAGCAGUAGGGAAUCUUCGGCAAUGGACGAAAGUCUGACCGAGCAACGCCGCGUGAGUGAAGAAGGGUUUCGGAUCGUAAAGAUCUGUUGUAAGAGAAGAACGGGUGUGAGAGUGGAAAGUUCACACUGUGACGGUAUCUGACCAGAAAGGGACGGCUAACUACGUG